ensembl:lncRNA
AGCAAAGUGAGGGUAGUGAGUGACAGCCCGAACCUGUGGCGCACUCAUUAAUUCCAACAGCAGAGCUGUGAUUGAUGUGUCAGCUCCCUGCUGCUCUGCGAUUCGGGCGGCUGGUUCCACCUUACGUCUGCUGUUACUGCUGCAAUCCCAGCUGCGGAAGGGGAGAAGAGGAGGAAAGAGCACGGAGGAGGGGAAGGGAAAAUGCCUGGGCAGAUCCACCUCAGUGCUGUGGCUGUCUUGGCACGGCCCCCAGGCAGCUUUCCCUCCUGGAGGCAGUCAUGGCCAUGGGAGGUAGUGAGACAUGAGGCGAGGAGAGCACCAGCUGUGACACCACGAUCUGAGGUUUCAUCCAUCGCUGUCUGCCGGUGUGAAUCAAGACUUCUCAUCCCUCCUCCUGAGGAGAGCAGCUACCCAUGAAGCAGAUGCAGAUUCACAAGAGAUGUGGAUAACUUAUGGACUAUGGAGAAGGAGACAGAGACAGAGCAGCCUGGCAAAUCCCAGGUCGGGGCCCCCGGUGGAGUCCUGUAACCACAGGAUAGGGAUACCAGAAGGAACAGAAAUGAAAGCAGCCAUAAACUGGGAAACAAUCCUGUCCCUCUGAUGGAAAAGAUGCAAAUCUCUGAGGCUGCGGUGACGUUUUAUGCCCAUGUCCUAAUGAAGCGCAAGACACAUUUCUGAAUACAGCCAUAAAAAGAGACCUUUGCAUAAUGCUUGUCUGCAG